rnacentral:lncRNA from 1 species
CAGGAACCCCCUCCCGCUGGCUCUGCGUCUGUCUGAUCACGCAGGCCCUGUGUCCUCGCUUUCUCCACAAUGGGAGCUGGGAGUUGGCACGACGGCCCCAAGGGGUCAGCUUUGCCUGGAUUUCUGAGCAAAAGCUGACUAAAACUUCCAAUCAGCUCUCCACUCAGCCUGGUGUGGAAGAGGGAGGAAGUCACACUGCACAGCCAAACACCGUGUCAGUGCGGUGACCCGAAGACGCAGUCCCCCGCCACACACCCAGACAGUGCGAGAACCGGGAACACUCUGCUUGACAUCAGAGGCCACAUAGCGGCUCGUUCACCUCACAGGAGAAGCCGGCUGAGGAGGUGGGGACGGAGUCACCCUUCCAUGAGUUCUCCAAGUUCAGCGGUCAGCUUUCCGAGAUGCGCUCUAGGCUGCGUGGGAGUUCCUGACUGACUGACUGCGAGAGCAGCCGUUUUGUUUCCGCCGUCCUGGGCUUGUCACCUUCCCACCCCGGCGCAUUAACAACCUGCGGUGUCGCUGUCCCCGUGCGCACAUUAACAACCUGCGGUGUCGCUGUCCCCGUGCG